AGAACGAACGCUGGCGGCAGGCCUCAAACAUGCAAGUCUAGGGGGCGUAGCAAUACGUCACCGGCGGACGGGUGCGUAACACGUGGGAAUGUACUUAUUGGUUCGGAACAACUCAGGGAAACUUGAGCUAAUACCGAAUGUGCCCGAAAGGGGAAAGAUUUAUCGCCAGUAAAUCAGCCCGCGUCCGAUUAGCUAGUUGGUGGGGUAAAGGCUCACCAAGGCAACGAUCGGUAGCUGUUCUGAGAGGAAGAUCAGCCACACUGGGACUGAGACACGGCCCAGACUCCUACGGGAGGCAGCAGUUGGGAAUCUUGGACAAUGGGGGAAACCCUGAUCCAGCCAUGCCGCGUGAGUGAUGAAGGCCUUCGGGUUGUAAAACUCUUCGACGGGGACGAUAAUGACGGUACCCGUAGAAGAAGCUCCGGCUAACUUCGUGCCAGCAGCCGC
rnacentral:rRNA from 1 species